GGCCAGGUAGCUCAGUCGGUAGAGCAGAGGAUUGAAAAUCCUUGUGUCGGGAGUUCGAUUCUCCCCCAGGCCACCA
rnacentral:tRNA from 2 species